GGCAAAAUGGCUUAGUUGUUAGAGAGACGGACUUGCAACCCGAAGCUGAACUUGAAGGUCGCGGGUUCGAGUCUCGGGCCG